UUUGUCGUGUUCACCGAGUUAGAGCUGGAGCAUGCGUCUUCUGUUGCUGCUGUUUUACUUUGCGCUGAGCAUCCCAUCAUAUUUUCCGAGCGGCGCGAGAACAGAAGCUGUAGCUGUAUUCCCAAUAGUUUACAUCGGAUCGUACUCUUCGAACCCAUUUGUUGAUCGAGAACUGUUUUCGCAAUUUCCUCAGAGGGCCUGCCCGUCAGGAUACGUUUACCAUCGGAGGAAAAAAAUCUGCGUGAAACCAAUUCCUUAAAUCAGGCCAAAGUGCAAGUACAGUCUGUAACACAUAUCGCCAGUGGUUGUGACCUCAUUUUUUAUAUAAAAAGCUCUCAUCGAGAGCUUUGCAAGAUAAAUAACAUCGUGGUUAAACUUAUUUCCUGGAAAACAAUUGAAAAACGUAAUUUUUAUACUUGCAGAUUAUUUACCAUCAUUCUCGAGGACGUUAUUGUUCAAACACAAAAAUGAUUUUCAAGCAUUUUUUCAUAUACUUAUUCAUUUUCAUUGGCACUAUGGCAGUUCUUUCCUUGGGCCAACCUUACUCAUCCAGUGAAGAGGACGAUGGAAAUUUGAAAUUCGAAGUCGACCCAGUUGGAACUGCACCUGACCGGUCCCUGUGCGGUAAAAACGAAUACUAUGACAAGAGGUCGAAAAAAUGCCGCAAAAUCCAUCAAACAAAGAAAAAGCGCAGCGAACUAUAACCGACAGUCGUUUUUAGCACAAAGCAAGAGUGGUGGUAUUCAGCAUGUUACUUUUUUAAACGAUGAAAUAAAUUGAGCAUAUUAGUCAA